UAUUGUUAUUAUUGUUAUUAUUAUUAUUAUUAUUAUUAUUAUUAUUAUUAUUAUUAUCGCUACCAAAAUAUAUAGAACCAGCACCAUCCCGAGAACAUGGCUAUGGAUCCAAGUUCCAGUCAGCGGUGAUGAUCGGAUCCCAACACCGAUAGCACGGGUUAUUCUGGUUCACGCCGAUGUUGUAGAGAUGCAGGACAGUGGGAAUAAUUGAAACUAAUUGCCCACGCUGUGGAUCUGAGGUGCCGGCAUCACCCGACUCUGUAGUGGAGAGAAGGAAACGAAACUGUGAGAGAGAAGAAAAGGAGAGAGGAAGCGUCGGCUUAUCAGGAUAAUCGCACCUCGCCUGUCUGGCUGUCACGAGCGGGAGAGAGGAAACACACCUUUGAUCCCUGAGCCUGGAACACUUCAGCUCUACAAGACAGCUCAUUGGCCUCGGGGCUUUUUCUUUUUUUUUUUUGGUGCUAUCUGGAGAGGCAGUGACAUAAAAAUUAGAUGGAUAUAUGGCUAAAAGAAAGUUUGUGUGUGUGUGUGUGUGUGUGUGUGUGCAUAUUAUUAAAUUAAUACUUUAAUGUCUUUCAGUAUGAU